UACGGAGGGGGCUAGCGUUGUUCGGAAUUACUGGGCGUAAAGCGCGCGUAGGCGGCUUCGCAAGUCAGAGGUGAAAGACUGGGGCUCAACCCCAGAACUGCCUUUGAGACUGCGUCGCUCGAAUCCGGGAGAGGUGAGUGGAAUUCCGAGUGUAGAGGUGAAAUUCGUAGAUAUUCGGAAGAACACCAGUGGCGAAGGCGGCUCACUGGACCGGCAUUGACGCUGAGGUGCGAAAGCGUGGGGAGCAAACAGG
rnacentral:rRNA from 1 species